rnacentral:rRNA from 1 species
CGUCAGUCUUUGUCCAGGGGGCCGCCUUCGCCACCGGUAUUCCUCCAGAUCUCUACGCAUUUCACCGCUACACCUGGAAUUCUACCCCCCUCUACAAGACUCUAGCCUGCCAGUUUCGAAUGCAGUUCCCAGGUUGAGCCCGGGGAUUUCACAUCCGACUUGACAGACCGCCUGCGUGCGCUUUACGCCCAGUAAUUCCGAUUAACGCUUGCACCCUCCGUAUUACCGCGGCUGCUGGCACGGAGUUAGCCGGUGCUUCUUCUGCGGGUAACGUCAAUCGCUGAGGUUAUUAACCUCAACGCCUUCCUCCCCGCUGAAAGUACUUUACAACCCGAAGGCCUUCUUCAUACACGCGGCAUGGCUGCAUCAGGCUUGCGCCCAUUGUGCAAUAUUCCCCACUGCUGCCUCCCGUAGGAGUCUGGACCGUGUCUCAGUUCCAGUGUGGCUGGUCAUCCUCUCAGACCAGCUAGGGAUCGUCGCCUAGGUGAGCCGUUACCCCACCUACUAGCUAAUCCCAUCUGGGCACAUCUGAUGGCAAGAGGCCCGAAGGUCCCCCUCUUUGGUCUUGCGACGUUAUGCGGUAUUAGCUACCGUUUCCAGUAGUUAUCCCCCUCCAUCAGGCAGUUUCCCAGACAUUACUCACCCGUCCGCCGCUCGCCGGCAAAGUAGCAAGCUACUUUCCGCUGCC